rnacentral:rRNA from 1 species
AGCGAACGCUGGCGGCAGGCUUAACACAUGCAAGUCGAGCGGGCAUAGCAAUAUGUCAGCGGCAGACGGGUGAGUAACGCGUGGGAACGUACCUUUUGGUUCGGAACAACUGACGGAAACUCCAGCUAAUACCGGAUAAGCCCUUACGGGGGAAGAUUUAUCGCCGAAAGAUCGGCCCGCGUCUGAUUAGCUAGUUGGUGAGGUAAUGGCUCACCAAGGCGACGAUCACUAGCUGGUCUGAGAGGAUGAUCAGCCACAUUGGGACUGAGACACGGCCCACACGCCUACGGGAGGCAGCAGUGGGGAAUAUUGGACAAUGGGCGCAAGCCUGAUCCGGCCAUGCCGCGUGAGUGAUGAAGGCCCUAGGGUUGUAAGGCUCUUUUGUGCGGGAAGAUAAUGACGGUACCGCAAGAAUAAGCCCCGGCUAACUUCGUG